rnacentral:rRNA from 1 species
UACGGAGGGAGCUAGCGUUGUUCGGAAUUACUGGGCGUAAAGCGCACGUAGGCGGCUUUGUAAGUUAGAGGUGAAAGCCCGGAGCUCAACUCCGGAAUUGCCUUUAAGACUGCAUCGCUUGAAUCCAGGAGAGGUGAGUGGAAUUCCGAGUGUAGAGGUGAAAUUCGUAGAUAUUCGGAAGAACACCAGUGGCGAAGGCGGCUCACUGGUCCGGUUCUGACGCUGAGGCGCGAAAGCGUGGGGAGCAAACAGG